rnacentral:rRNA from 1 species
CAGCUACACAUGCAGUCGAGCGGUACGGGGGUGCUUGCACCCCGCGGACGAGCGGCGGACGGGUGAGUAAUGCAUAGGAAACUGCCCAGUAGUGGGGGAUAGCCCGGGGAAACCCGGAUUAAUACCGCGUACGCCCUUCGGGGGAAAGCAGGGGAUCUUCGGACCUUGCGCUAUUGGAUGUGCCUAUGUCGGAUUAGCUAGUUGGUGGGGUAAAGGCCUACCAAGGCGACGAUCCGUAGCUGGUCUGAGAGGAUGAUCAGCCACAUCGGGGACUGAGACACGGCCCGAACUCCUACGGGAGGCAGCAGUGGGGAAUAUUGGACAAUGGGGGCAACCCUGAUCCCAGCCAUGCCGCGUGUGUGAAGAAGGCUUUCGGGUUGUAAAGCACUUUCAGUGAGGAGGAAAACUCUGCGACUAAUACUCGUAGGGCUUGACGUUACUCACAGAAGAAGCACCGGCUAACUCCGUGCCAGCAGCCGCGGUAAUACGGAGGGUGCAAGCGUUAAUCGGAAUUACUGGGCGUAAAGCGCGCGUAGGUGGUUUGAUAAGCGAGAUGUGAAAGCCCCGGGCUUAACCUGGGAACGGCAUUUCGAACUGUCAGGCUAGAGUAUGGUAGAGGGUAGUGGAAUUUCCUGUGUAGCGGUGAAAUGCGUAGAUAUAGGAAGGAACACCAGUGGCGAAGGCGGCUACCUGGACCAAUACUGACACUGAGGUGCGAAAGCGUGGGGAGCAAACAGGAUUAGAUACCCUGGUAGUCCACGCCGUAAACGAUGUCUACUAGCCGUUGGGACUCUUGAAGUCUUAGUGGCGCAGCUAACGCACUAAGUAGACCGCCUGGGGAGUACGGCCGCAAGGUUAAAACUCAAAUGAAUUGACGGGGGCCCGCGCAAGCGGUGGAGCAUGUGGUUUAAUUCGACGCAACGCGAAGAACCUUACCUGGCCUUGACAUGCAGAGAACUUUCCAGAGAUGGAUUGGUGCCUUCGGGAACUCUGACACAGGUGCUGCAUGGCCGUCGUCAGCUCGUGUCGUGAGAUGUUGGGUUAAGUCCCGUAACGAGCGCAACCCCUAUCCCUAGUUGCUAGCAGUUCGGCUGAGAACUCUAGGGAGACUGCCGGUGACAAACCGGAGGAAGGUGGGGAUGACGUCAGGUCAUCAUGGCCCUUACGGCCAGGGCUACACACGUGCUACAAUGGUGCGCACAGAGGGCUGCAAACCCGCGAGGGGGAGCCAAUCUCACAAAACGCAUCGUAGUCCGGAUCGCAGUCUGCAACUCGACUGCGUGAAGUCGGAAU